UGAACGCUGGCGGCGGGCCUCAUACAUGCAAGUCGAGCGCGAAAGUCCGCAAGGAUGAGUAAAGCGGCGCACGGGUGAGUAACACGUGGAUAAUCUACCCUUUGGAUUGGAAUAACCUGUCGAAAGACGGGCUAAUGCCGAGUAAGCUCACAAGUUCGUGAAGUUCUUGUGAGGAAAGAUGGCGCAAGCUAUCGCCGAAGGAUGAGUCUGCGCCCCAUUAGUUAGUUGGUGGGGUAAUGGCUUACCAAGACAAUGAUGGGUACCUGGUCUGAGAGGAUGACCAGGCACACUGGAACUGAAACACGGUCCAGACUCCUACGGGAGGCAGCAGUAGGGAAUAUUGCGCAAUGGACGAAAGUCUGACGCAGCCACGCCGCGUGAGUGAAGAA
rnacentral:rRNA from 1 species